UGGGGAAUAUUGCACAAUGGGGGAAACCCUGAUGCAGCGACGCCGCGUGAACGAAGAAGGUAUUCGUAUCGUAAAGUUCUGUCCUAUGGGAAGAUAAUGACAGUACCAUAGAAGAAAGAUCCGGCUAAAUACGUGCCAGCAGCCGCGGUAAUACGUAUGGAGCGAGCGUUGUCCGGAAUUAUUGGGCGUAAAGGGUACGCAGGCGGUUUAAUAAGUCGAAUGUUAAAGAUCUGGGCUCAACCCCGGAAAGCAUUGGAAACUGAUAAACUUGAGUAGUGGAGAGGAAAGUGGAAUUCCUAGUGUAGUGGUGAAAUACGUAGAUAUUAGGAGGAAUACCAGUAGCGAAGGCGACUUUCUGGACACAAACUGACGCUGAAGUACGAAAGCGUGGGGAGCAAACAGG
rnacentral:rRNA from 1 species